AAAGAAAGAUACAGACUGAUGAGAGCAAUGUAAAGGAAAGAUAUUCACUUAGGACCAAGGAGACUGGCGAAAUUCUUAAGAGAAAGUAUGCUGAUGAGAGCAGUUUCACGGAAAGUCAGCCACUAGUGACAGCAGAUCACGACCAAACGAAAGGCAUUGGUGUGCAAACAGAUUUGGAGACUAUCAAUUCAAGUACGCAGUGGUGUGACAACAGUCUACAAGAUCAUGCAUACCAUGUACAAGUACCUGGCAAUUGUGUUAGCCAUUGUGAUGCCAG